AGGGAUAAAGUUUUUAAAGCGUUUGCUUGUCAUGCAAGAGAAUUUUCUCUA
rnacentral:tRNA from 1 species